rnacentral:rRNA from 1 species
UGACAGGCUUAACACAUGCAAGUCGAGGGGCAGCACGGUGUAGCAAUACAUUGGUGGCGACCGGCGCACGGGUGAGUAACGCGUAUGCAACCUACCUAUCAGAGGGGAAUAACCCGGCGAAAGUCGGACUAAUACCGCAUAAAACAGGGGUUCCACAUGGAAAUAUUUGUUAAAGAUUUAUCGCUGAUAGAUGGGCAUGCGUUCCAUUAGAUAGUUGGUGAGGUAACGGCUCACCAAGUCUACGAUGGAUAGGGGUUCUGAGAGGAAGGUCCCCCACACUGGUACUGAGACACGGACCAGACUCCUACGGGAGGCAGCAGUGAGGAAUAUUGGUCAAUGGGCGAGAGCCUGAACCAGCCAAGUCGCGUGAAGGAUGAAGGAUCUAUGGUUUGUAAACUUCUUUUAUAUGGGAAUAAAGUGAGGAACGUGUUCCUUUUUGUAUGUACCAUAUGAAUAAGCAUCGGCUAACUCCGUGCCAGCAGCCGCGGUAAUACGGAGGAUGCGAGCGUUAUCCGGAUUUAUUGGGUUUAAAGGGUGCGUAGGUGGUUUUUUAAGUCAGCGGUGAAAGUUUGUGGCUCAACCAUAAAAUUGCCGUUGAAACUGGGGAACUUGAGUAUAUUUGAGGUAGGCGGAAUGCGUGGUGUAGCGGUGAAAUGCAUAGAUAUCACGCAGAACUCCGAUUGCGAAGGCAGCUUACUAAACUAUAACUGACACUGAAGCACGAAAGCGUGGGGAUCAAACAGGAUUAGAUACCCUGGUAGUCCACGCAGUAAACGAUGAUUACUAGCUGUUUGCGAUACACAGUAAGCGGCACAGCGAAAGCGUUAAGUAAUCCACCUGGGGAGUACGCCGGCAACGGUGAAACUCAAAGGAAUUGACGGGGGCCCGCACAAGCGGAGGAACAUGUGGUUUAAUUCGAUGAUACGCGAGGGACCUUACCCGGGUUUGAACGCAUUCGGACCGACUGUGAAAGCAGUCUUUCAGCAAUGACCGUUUGCGAGGUGCUGCAUGGUUGUCGUCAGCUCGUGCCGUGAGGUGUCGGCUUAAGUGCCAUAACGAGCGCAACCCUUAUCACUAGUUACUAACAGGUCAUGCUGAGGACUCUAGUGAGACUGCCAGCGUAAGCUGUGAGGAAGGUGGGGAUGACGUCAAAUCAGCACGGCCCUUACAUCCGGGGCGACACACGUGUUACAAUGGUGGGGACAAAGGGCAGCUACACAGCGAUGUGAUGCUAAUCUCCAAACCCCAUCUCAGUUCGGAUCGAAGUCUGUAACCCGACUUCGUGAAGCUGGAUUCGCUAGUAAUCGCGCAUCAGCCAUGGCGCGGUGAAUACGUUCCCGGGCCUUGUACACACCGCCCGUCAAGCCAUGGGAGUUGGGGGUACCUAAAGUCCGUAACCGCAAGGAUCGGCCUAGGGUAAAACCGAUGACUGG